CGGGGGAGCAAGCGUUGUUCGGAUUUACUGGGCGUAAAGGGCGCGUAGGCGGCCACCGCAAGUCAGUUGUGAAAUCUCUGGGCUUAACCCAGAAAGGUCAACUGAUACUGCGGGGCUAGAGUGCAGAAGGGGCAACUGGAAUUCUCGGUGUAGCGGUGAAAUGCGUAGAUAUCGAGAGGAACACCUGCGGCGAAGGCGGGUUGCUGGGCUGACACUGACGCUGAGGCGCGAAAGCUAGGGGAGCGAACGGGAUUAGAUACCCCGGUAGUCCUAGCCUUAAACGAUGAAUGCUUGGUGUCUGGGGUUAUAUAGUCCCCGGGUGCCGUCGCUAACGCUUUAAGCAUUCCGCCUGGGGAGUACGGUCGCAAGACUG
rnacentral:rRNA from 1 species